GGCGGCAAGUCCAUAGAUAUCUUAUAUAAACUAGAUAGCGCAUCUCUUUUAGUAAAAUUGAAGCCAAGAAUAUCCCAGCGGUUACCCCCAUUUGAAUAGAUGGCGGCCAUGUUGGAGAUUCCCACUCGCUAAUAAACGCUUAAAAAAUAACAAUAACUUUCAUCAUUUGAAUAGUUUGAAAAUGUAUUUAUAAUAGGAUUAACUUAAUGUUUAAGUUCCCUGUUUAAGAAAUAGGAUACAUACGAAUGUUCUCAUUUCAUGGGAAUAUCCUGAGCCUGCAAUCACGGCUUCAAUUUUUGAAUUGCAGAAUAAUUAGAUGCACUAUCUAGUGUAUAUAAGAUAUCUAUGGGCAAGUCCAGCCCCAAUGUUGCCCCCCUCAAGUGAAUUAUUUUGCCCCCGCAUCCGCCUACAGGAUCCCAUUUUUCCAGUUCACUACAUCGUAGUUUGGUCCCGGACUCGUCCCCAGUAGAUCGUCCAGCGUUGAAUGAUGGGAAUGCAUCAUUCCCAUAGACCUGUGCGUUCUAUUGUUCCAGCCCGUAAGCGUCUGCAAAUUUGUAUGUGCAUUUCUGUUAAUCCUUUUCGAAGCAAAUUUGAGGGACUGUGGAAGAGUUGCUGGGUUAGGUAUAAAGGUCCCUUUUUUCUUGAGG